rnacentral:rRNA from 1 species
UGAGGAAUAUUGGUCAAUGGGCGGAAGCCUGGACCAGCCAUGCCGCGUGCAGGAAGGAGGCCCUACGGGUUGUAAACUGCUUUUACCCGGGAAGAAACCGCCCCCUGUGGGGGGCGUUGCCGGUACCGGGGGAAAAAGGAUCGGCUAACUCCGUGCCAGCAGCCGCGGUAAUACGGAGGAUCCGGCGUUAUCCGGAAUUACUGGGUUUAAAGGGUGCGUAGGCGGGGCUUUAAGCCGGCGGUGAAGUGCAGCGGCUCAACCGCUGGAAUGCCGUUGGGACUGGGGCUCUUGGAUACGGUCGGGGCGGGUGGAACUCGUGGUGUAGCGGUGAAAUGCAUAGAUAUCACGAGGAACGCCGGUAGCGAAGGCAGCUCGCCGGGCCGGUAUUGACGCUGAGGCACGAAAGCGUGGGGAUCGAACAG